AUUGAACGCUGGCGGCAGGCUUAACACAUGCAAGUCGAACGAGUGGCGGACGGGUGAGUAAUGCUUGGGAAUCUAGCUUCUGGAGGGGGAUAACUACGGGAAACUGUAGCUAAUACCGCGUACCAUAGGAUGAGCCCAAGUGGGAUUAGGUAGUUGGUGAGGUAAAGGCUCACCAAGCCGACGAUCUCUAGCUGGUCUGAGAGGAUGACCAGCAACACUGGAACUGAGACACGGCCCAGACUCCUGCGGGAGGCAGCAGUGGGGAAUAUGGCCCAAUGGGGGCAACCUGACGCAGCGAUGCCGCGUGAAGAAAGACGGCCUUCGGGUUGUAAAGUUCUUUCGGUAGCGAGGCGUUAACUACAGAAGACGCACCGGCUAACUCCGUGCCAGCCGCCGCGGUAAUAC
rnacentral:rRNA from 1 species